AUUGAACGCUGGCGGCAGGCCUAACACAUGCAAGUCGGACGGUAGCACAGAGAGCCUGCUCUUGGGUGACGAGUGGCGGACGGGUGAGUAAUGUCUGGGGAUCUGCCCGAUAGAGGGGGAUAACCACUGGAAACGGUGGCUAAUACCGCAUAACGUCGCAAGACCAAAGAGGGGGACCUUCGGGCCUCUCACUAUCGGAUGAACCCAGAUGGGAUUAGCUAGUAGGCGGGGUAAUGGCCCACCUAGGCGACGAUCCCUAGCUGGUCUGAGAGGAUGACCAGCCACACUGGAACUGAGACACAGUCCAGGCUCCUACGGGAGGCAGCAGUGGGGAAUAUUGCACAAUGGGCGCAAGCCUGAUGCAGCCAUGCCGCGUGUAUGAAGAAGGCCUUCGGGUUGUAAAGUACUUUCAGCGGGGAGGAAGGCGGUGAGGUUAAUAACCUUGCCGAUUGACGUUACCCGCAGAAGAAGCACCGGCUAACUCCGUGCCAGCAGCCGCCGUAA
rnacentral:rRNA from 1 species